UACGGAGGGUGCAAGCGUUAUCCGGAUUUACUGGGUUUAAAGGGUGUGUAGGCGGACUUUUAAGUCCGUGGUGAAAUCUCCGGGCUCAACCCGGAAACUGCCAUGGAUACUAUUGGUCUUGAAUAUUGUUGAGGUGGGCGGAACGGGUCAUGUAGCGGUGAAAUGCAUAGAUAUGACCCGGAACACCGAUUGCGAAGGCAGCCCACUAAGCAAUGAUUGACGCUGAGGCACGAAAGCGUGGGGAUCAAACAGG
rnacentral:rRNA from 2 species